rfam:Pleurotus ostreatus PC15 unplaced genomic scaffold scaffold_04, whole genome shotgun sequence.
CCCCCGGUAGCUCAGUUGGAAGAGCGUGAGACUGUAACGGGUUAACAAGUUUAUCUCAAGGCCACUGGUUCGAUCCCGGUCUGGGGGA